GGGAUCACUUCAUGGACUGAUUAGUUCCUUUCUCAGUUCAGUUGAGCUCAACCGCGAUCAUGCCGGCUGGGAGUGGAACUGCCGUGACUCACUCAGAGAACUGUCAGGACGUGAUUCUCAUUUGCGCUGUGAUUCGUUCAUGAUUCACGAACCUACUGCAGGCAGAGAACUGACGCAGAGGACGUGAUUCUCAUCCAGAGGUGUGGCUGAGGACAGAGGCAGCAGGACCAGCAGCAACAACAGUGACAGCUUCAUCUGGAGAUAAAACACAGAACAACAUCUCUGUUCAGUGCUCACUUCAUGAAGACUCUAUAGUCUGGGCUGUCUGCAUAUGGUACAUUUGUUUUUGAGGAUUAAG